rnacentral:lncRNA from 1 species
CUCAAUGCCAGAGUCCUCAGGCUGUCAGUGAAAGGAGUCCAGGGCACAGUCCUGCCCCUGGCCUGGGUGCAGUGGGACCUUCUCUCCUGGGAAUUCCAAGUGGCUCCCAUGGCCCCCAUCGCUCAAGUGGACCUCAUAUGAGGGGCUAAUGGCCCUCGAGCAGCAAAAGUGCUGGCCACUCUUUCCUAGCCACACCACAGAAUGGAGAAUGGAGAGGAACACCCCCCCCAGGAGCCCCUUUUCCCUGUGGCCAGCAGCCUCCGCAGCCAAGGCUCCCAGUCACACCCAGAGUCACCUCCUAGGGCAAAGAGCAGGCUGAGACUGCGGACUCGGCUUCGGGACUUUGAAUCCUCAAAACUCUGGAUCACUGGAAACCAAGGGAGGGUCCAGAGUGACGGAGAGGGACGAGUGGGAGGCACAGGAGAGGACGCGUCCCAACACGAGCAUCGGAGGUGAAAACAGGACUCACUGCUCCCACAUCUGGCCAGACAGGCAGAGCUGAAGGAGAGAGUGAGCACGGAAGUGUGACCCCAGCAGAGGAGCCGUCAAAGGCAGCAGAGGACGUAGGACAUUUGCCGAGAACGGAGCUGGGGAGACGGACGGGCUCUGCCAGCAUUGCCAACAGCAGCUCUGGGUGACGGACUGAGGUCCAGGAGACGCGCCAGCCCCCAGUCCUGGGCCUCGCUGCUCUCAAGGGCGCAGCCAGACACGCGGGAGACCCUCAUGGGGGCAGUAGCCUCUCCCGUGAGACAUAAGUUGUCCCUGCCGGUCCUUGCUCACAGCUCAGCCUUCAACAGCCAAGACCCCCGCUCGGAAGCUCGAGGAAGCGCUCACGGUGUGGAGGGGAGUCUGGCUUGAAGGCGCCCGUGUGCUCAUCCCGGGAGAGGUGGGAGUCGACUCUCGACUUUGCCUGGACGGCAAGCCUGGCAGUGACCACCACAACCCCAUGUGGCGUGCCUUCCAGCCAGCAGAGACCGCAGGCCAGGCGGGAAGGGAGUGUCGGAGGAGGAGGGUCCAAAACCCCAGGUAAGGGGCUCCCAGACCUGCAGUCACCACACAGAGGGCCCUUGCCACAGGACUGCGCAGCCUGACAGUAGCCACCAGCCCCGAGUCCAGCUUGGCUUCUCUUUGGCUCUUUUUUUUUUUUGAGAGAGAGAGAGAGAGAGAAUUUUUUAUUUUUUUUUUUGGUGGACACAACAUCUUUAUUUUAUUUUGUAUGUGGUGCUAAGGAUGGAACCCAGCGCCGCGCACAUGCCAGGCAAGCGCGCUACCACUUGAGCCACAUCCCCAGCCCUCUUUGGCUCUUUUCAGAAAAAUUUUGCCUCUUUUCUGAAACAACUUGACUCUUCAGGCUGUACCUAUGUAACUUUAAUAAAAAUAUGUACCAAAGAGUACGGUCUCAAAACACUAACAAGAAGCACCCCAGAAAUUGAAGGCCACUGCCGUGUUGGUUUGGUUUGGUCUGGUCGCG